rnacentral:pre_miRNA from 1 species
GGUCCUCGCAUAGUAGUAGUUCUUGUAGAGCGAUGGUCCUCGCUCAGUCCUCCCAUCGCUCUACAAGAACUACUACUAUGCGAGGAUC